GACGAACGCUGGCGGCGUGCCUAAUACAUGCAAGUUGAGCGCUGAAGGUUGGUACUUGUACCAACUGGAUGAGCAGCGAACGGGUGAGUAACGCGUGGGGAAUCUGCCUUUGAGCGGGGGACAACAUUUGGAAACGAAUGCUAAUACCGCAUAAAAACUUUAAACACAAGUUUUAAGUUUGAAAGAUGCGAUUACAUCACUCAAAGAUGAUCCCGCGUUGUAUUAGCUAGUUGGUGAGGUAAAGGCUCACCAAGGCGAUGAUACAUAGCCGACCUGAGAGGGUGAUCGGCCACAUUGGGACUGAGACACGGCCCAAACUCCUACGGGAGGCAGCAGUAGGGAAUCUUCGGCAAUGGACGAAAGUCUGACCGAGCAACGCCGCGUGAGUGAAGAAGGUUUUCGGAUCGUAAAACUCUGUUGGUAGAGAAGAACGUUGGUGAGAGUGGAAAGCUCAUCAAGUGACGGUAACUACCCAGAAAGGGACGGCUAACUACGUG
rnacentral:rRNA from 1 species